rnacentral:rRNA from 1 species
CAGUCGCCGCGGGAAUACGAAGGGUGCAAGCGUUAAUCGGAAUUACUGGGCGUAAAGCGUGCGCAGGCGGUUUGUUAAGACAGAUGUGAAAUCCCCGGGCUCAACCUGGGAACUGCAUUUGUGACUGGCAAGCUAGAGUGUGGCAGAGGGGGGUAGAAUUCCGCGUGUAGCAGUGAAAUGCGUAGAUAUGCGGAGGAACACCGAUGGCGAAGGCAGCCCCCUGGGCCAACACUGACGCUCAUGCACGAAAGCGUGGGGAGCAAACAGGAUUAGAUACCCGUGUAGUCCCUGUCUCUUAUAC